rnacentral:rRNA from 1 species
GAUGAACGCUGGCGGCGUGCCUAAUACAUGCAAGUCGAGCGAACAGACGAGGAGCUUGCUCCUCUGACGUUAGCGGCGGACGGGUGAGUAACACGUGGAUAACCUACCUAUAAGACUGGGACAACUUCGGGAAACCGGAGCUAAUACCGGAUAAUAUAUUGAACCGCAUGGUUCAAUAGUGAAAGACGGUUUUGCUGUCACUUAUAGAUGGAUCCGCGCCGCAUUAGCUAGUUGGUAAGGUAACGGCUUACCAAGGCAGCGAUGCGUAGCCGACCUGAGAGGGUGAUCGGCCACACUGGAACUGAGACACGGUCCAGACUCCUACGGGAGGCAGCAGUAGGGAAUCUUCCGCAAUGGGCGAAAGCCUGACGGAGCAACGCCGCGUGAGUGAUGAAGGUCUUCGGAUCGUAAAACUCUGUUAUUAGGGAAGAACAAAUGUGUAAGUAACUAUGCACGUCUUGACGGUACCUAAUCAGAAAGCCACGGCUAACUACGUG